rfam:Rhizopus microsporus genome assembly, contig: SCAF178
GCCCGAUUAGCACAGUGGUAGUGCGUCUGUCUUGUAAACAGAAGGUCGGUUGUUCAAUCCAGCCAUCGGGCA